CACUAUCGUUAACUGAAUACAUAGGUUAACGAGGCGAACCGGGGGAACUGAAACAUCUAAGUACCCCGAGGAAAAGAAAUCAACCGAGAUUCCCCCAGUAGCGGCGAGCGAACGGGGAGCAGCCCAGAGUCUGAAUCAGCUUGUGUGUUAGUGGAACGGUCUGGAAAGUCCGACGGUACAGGGUGAUAGUCCCGUACACCAAAAUGCACAGGUUGUGAACUCGAAGAGUAGGGCGGGACACGUGGUAUCCUGUCUGAAUAUGGGGGGACCAUCCUCCAAGGCUAAAUACUCCUGACUGACCGAUAGUGAACCAGUACCGUGAGGGAAAGGCGAAAAGAACCCCGGCGAGGGGAGUGAAAAAGAACCUGAAACCGUGUACGUACAAGCAGUGGGAGCACCUUUAGGUGUGACUGCGUACCUUUUGUAUAAUGGGUCAGCGACUUAUAUUCUGUAGCAAGGUUAACCGUAUAGGGGAGCCGCAGGGAAACCGAGUCUUAACUGGGCGUUAAGUUGCAGGGUAUAGACCCGAAACCCGGUGAUCUAGCCAUGGGCAGGUUGAAGGUUGGGUAACACUAACUGGAGGACCGAACCGACUAAUGUUGAAAAAUUAGCGGAUGACUUGUGGCUGGGGGUGAAAGGCCAAUCAAACCGGGAGAUAGCUGGUUCUCCCCGAAAGCUAUUUAGGUAGCGCCUCGUGAACUCAUCUUCGGGGGUAGAGCACUGUUUCGGCUAGGGGGUCAUCCCGACUUACCAACCCGAUGCAAACUACGAAUACCGAAGAAUGUUAUCACGGGAGACACACGGCGGGUGCUAACGUCCGUCGUGAAGAGGGAAACAACCCAGACCGCCAGCUAAGGUCCCAAAGUCAUGGUUAAGUGGGAAACGAUGUGGGAAGGCACAGACAGCCAGGAUGUUGGCUUAGAAGCAGCCAUCAUUUAAAGAAAGCGUAAUAGCUCACUGGUCGAGUCGGCCUGCGCGGAAGAUGUAACGGGGCUAAACCAUGCACCGAAGCUGCGGCAGCGACACUAUGUGUUGUUGGGUAGGGGAGCGUUCUGUAAGCCUGCGAAGGUGACCUGUGAGGGUUGCUGGAGGUAUCAGAAGUGCGAAUGCUGACAUAAGUAACGAUAAAGCGGGUGAAAAGCCCGCUCGCCGGAAGACCAAGGGUUCCUGUCCAACGUUAAUCGGGGCAGGGUGAGUCGACCCCUAAGGCGAGGCCGAAAGGCGUAGUCGAUGGGAAACAGGUUAAUAUUCCUGUACUUGGUGUUACUGCGAAGGGGGGACGGAGAAGGCUAUGUUAGCCGGGCGACGGUUGUCCCGGUUUAAGCAUGUAGGCUGGUUAUCCAGGCAAAUCCGGAUAAUCAAGGCUGAGGUGUGAUGACGAGGCACUACGGUGCUGAAGUAACAAAUGCCCUGCUUCCAGGAAAAGCCUCUAAGCAUCAGGUAACAUCAAAUCGUACCCCAAACCGACACAGGUGGUCAGGUAGAGAAUACCAAGGCGCUUGAGAGAACUCGGGUGAAGGAACUAGGCAAAAUGGUGCCGUAACUUCGGGAGAAGGCACGCUGGUGUGUAGGUGAAGCCCCUGCGGGUGGAGCUGAGACCAGUCGAAGAUACCAGCUGGCUGCAACUGUUUAUUAAAAACACAGCACUGUGCAAACACGAAAGUGGACGUAUACGGUGUGACGCCUGCCCGGUGCCGGAAGGUUAAUUGAUGGGGUUAUCCGUAAGGAGAAGCUCUUGAUCGAAGCCCCGGUAAACGGCGGCCGUAACUAUAACGGUCCUAAGGUAGCGAAAUUCCUUGUCGGGUAAGUUCCGACCUGCACGAAUGGCGUAAUGAUGGCCAGGCUGUCUCCACCCGAGACUCAGUGAAAUUGAACUCGCUGUGAAGAUGCAGUGUACCCGCGGCAAGACGGAAAGACCCCGUGAACCUUUACUAUAGCUUGACACUGAACAUUGAGCCUUGAUGUGUAGGAUAGGUGGGAGGCUUUGAAGCGUGGACGCCAGUCUGCGUGGAGCCAACCUUGAAAUACCACCCUUUAAUGUUUGAUGUUCUAACGUUGGCCCCUUACCGGGGUUGCGGACAGUGUCUGGUGGGUAGUUUGACUGGGGCGGUCUCCUCCCAAAGCGUAACGGAGGAGCACGAAGGUUAGCUAAUCCUGGUCGGACAUCAGGAGGUUAGUGCAAUGGCAUAAGCUAGCUUGACUGCGAGCGUGACGGCGCGAGCAGGUGCGAAAGCAGGUCAUAGUGAUCCGGUGGUUCUGAAUGGAAGGGCCAUCGCUCAACGGAUAAAAGGUACUCCGGGGAUAACAGGCUGAUACCGCCCAAGAGUUCAUAUCGACGGCGGUGUUUGGCACCUCGAUGUCGGCUCAUCACAUCCUGGGGCUGAAGUAGGUCCCAAGGGUAUGGCUGUUCGCCAUUUAAAGUGGUACGCGAGCUGGGUUUAGAACGUCGUGAGACAGUUCGGUCCCUAUCUGCCGUGGGCGCUGGAGAAUUGAGGGGGGCUGCUCCUAGUACGAGAGGACCGGAGUGGACGCAUCACUGGUGUUCGGGUUGUCAUGCCAAUGGCACUGCCCGGUAGCUAAAUGCGGAAGAGAUAAGUGCUGAAAGCAUCUAAGCACGAAACUUGCCCCGAGAUGAGUUCUCCCUGAGACUUUAAGUCUCCUGAAGGAACGUUAAAGACGAUGACGUUGAUAGGCCGGGUGUGUAAGCGCAGCGAUGCGUUGAGCUAACCGGUACUAAUGAACCGUGAGGCUUAACCUU
rnacentral:rRNA from 1 species